AAGUCGUAACAAGGUUUCCGUAGGUGAACCUGCGGAAGGAUCAUUAUUGAAACUUUCAAUUACGUAUGUGAACCAGCUGAAGCGUGGCGUUAGUCGCACAUGGAUGCUAAAGACUUAGGUCGGACGCUAACUAUGUGAAGACUAGCUCAUGAUAAGCGUAACAACUGGCGGACUUUGAGCCGCCAGUCAUUUACCCCAACCUCAUCAUGAUAUUAUCUGAAAACGUUUAAUUAACGACAACUUUUAGCAACGGAUCUCUAGGCUCUC
rnacentral:misc_RNA from 1 species